CGGGUGCGUAACACGUAUGCAAUUUACCUUCAACAGGGGGAUAGCCCGGAGAAAUCCGGAUUAAUACCCCAUAAUGUAUCGAGAUCGCAUGGUUUUGAUAUUAAAGUUCCGGCGGUUGAAGAUGAGCAUGCGCCCCAUUAGCUAGAUGGCGAGGUAACGGCUCACCAUGGCAGCGAUAGGUAGGGGCCCUGAGAGGGGGAUCCCCCACACUGGUACUGAGACACGGACCAG
rnacentral:rRNA from 1 species